CUCCACAAGGGCAAAAUGCUGGAGUGAUGGAGGGGCAUUUAGAUGGAGGUAAUGAAGAAAGACCCAGACAACACAACAGUGGAUGAAGUGAUGUCUGCUACUUUCUCGCUUCGCCGUAAAGAAACAGUUGGGGAUCAACCCAUGGUUGCCGACAGCAUGGAGAGAUGGCCGGCCAUGUUUUCUGAACGACAGGCCCAUGGUGACACACUUGGAGAAGCAACGAAAGACAUCCACCUUGGAAUUCUGAUUAGCUACGAAGUCAACCAGGAGGGAGCCUUUCCAGCAGCUUGUUUCGGAAGUUGUGGACUCGAGCUGAGGCGUUGUCUGGUUGUAUUUUCACUACCACACGUUGCAGAAACGAAUACGUACUUCAUGGCGCUCGGACACUGCAGGUUAACCGCAUAUAUUAUGCCUAACAGCAAGGCCACACCGUUGCCAUAUCGUUUAAAAUUGUGUAGCACAACGAUUUCCUCCACAACAACUGCCACAUGGAAGACAUCUGCUGGAGGUUGGAGCUGUAGACCUGGUAUGUUAGUCAAGUCUAGGCACUGUGUGUGCAUGUGCAUAUACAGAGGCGCGCACGCACACACACACUUCAGUUGAGUGUUUCAGGGCCAUUUUGUGUCCCUUUCUAUUCCUUAAACCAGU